AAUCAACGCUGGCGGCGUGCCUCAGACAUGCAAGUCGAACGCUGCUGUUCGCCUUCGGGUGGACAGCGGAGUGGCGCACGGGUGAGUAACACGUAGGUAAUCUACCUUUGGGUGGGGAAUAACAGCCGGAAACGGCUGCUAAUACCGCAUAAUGCAGCGGCAUCACAUGAUGACAGUUGUUAAAGCGGGGGAUCGUAAGACCUCGCGCCUGAAGAGGAGCCUGCGGCAGAUUAGGUAGUUGGUGAGGUAAUGGCUCACCAAGCCUGCGAUCUGUAACCGGCCUGAGAGGGCGGUCGGUCACACUGACACUGACA
rnacentral:rRNA from 1 species